AACGUAGGAGGCGAGCGUUAUCCGGAUUUACUGGGUGUAAAGCGCGUGUAGGCGGUCCUGCAAGUGGUGCGUGAAAGCGCCCGGCUCAACCGGGCGAGGACGUGGGCGAACUGCAGGGCUAGAGGCAGGUAGAGGCGUGUGGAAUUCCGGGUGUAGUGGUGAAAUGCGUAGAGAUCCGGAGGAACACCAGUGGCGAAGGCGACACGCUGGGCCUGGCCUGACGCUGAGAGGCGAAAGCAUGGGGAGCGAACGGGAUUAGAUACUCCUGUA
rnacentral:rRNA from 1 species